rnacentral:rRNA from 1 species
UACGUAGGUGGCAAGCGUUAUCCGGAAUUAUUGGGCGUAAAGCGCGCGCAGGUGGUUCUUUAAGUCUGAUGUGAAAGCCCCCGGCUCAACCGGGGAGGGUCAUUGGAAACGUGGGACUAGUAUAGAAGAGGAAAGUGGAAUUCCACGUGUAGCGGUGAAAUGCGUAGAGAUGUGGAGGAACACCAGUGGCGAAGGCGACUUUCUGGUCUAUAACUGACACUGAGGCGCGAAAGCGUGGGGAGCAAACAGG